rnacentral:snRNA from 1 species
AUAUAAGACGUGUAUUUAUCAACCAAUUGGGCCAUAAACGAGAGGCCCAAUUUGUUCAGACUUCUCAGUUCUCCCUCAUCGCCUGCUAUACAAAGCUAUAUUUCUUUAUAUGGGGAAACUGUAGCAUGGCCCCUGCGCAAGGAUGACACGCACAAAUCGAGAAAUGGUCCAAAUUUUU